AGAAGACAGAGAAAAACAACAAAAUAACAACGUCCAAAAUACACAAGAGUUAAUGUUCAUAUCAUAUCACACUUUUUGAGAGAAAAUGGCCUCUGCUUGUGUCCUCAAGUGAGCACCUGUUCUAAUUUCCAAUGGCCCCAUCUGCAUUGGCUAUUAAAGGAAGCAGCGUGGGGUAUAGCACGCAAUGCUGCCUUCUCCCAGUUUAAGGACAAUAGGUUGGUACCAAUGGUUGAACCUGAGAUCCUCUUUGAUGGGGGGAUCAUGGGAUUGACAUGACUUUUGAAGUAACUCACAAGUUUUGGACAAAGGAAAUGUGUCAUUUGAAGAAAUCCUCCGAAACCAAAAAGCAUGGUUUGGAAUGACCCGAAGCAUAACCUGAACUUGUUUACAAAGUGCAUUGGACUUAAUUUCAAAAUCCGAACUUGUCCUAAUCAACUUCGUGCCAUGCCAAGUUAGUGGGAUACAUUCACUGGUCACAUUCAAGCUCAAUACUACCGUCGAGAUUUUGCUAGUCAAGAAAUGAAAGUGAUAAGUGGAAUAUGUGAUUUAGUAAACAAUUCAACAUUUGAUGAAAUGACAAUCAAUCUUAAUGUGCUUGGGGCAUUCUUGGAAGAUUGAGCUGCGAGUAAUUUGUAUAGCAUGUACUUAUGUAGGAGUUGGGCCAAAAAAAGAGAUAUCCAUAGCACACAUCCAAACAUUUCUGCAAUGGUGGAUGCCAUGACAUGAUACUUGAUUUUUGUACAAGAGCGAGAGAUAAUGGUUUACUUCCUACUCUUUUAAGAAGUGAGAGAAUGAUCUCCUAAAAAAAUGUAAAAGUCUGUGGUGGACUUACAAUUAG